rnacentral:rRNA from 1 species
CCUACGGGAGGCCGCAGUGGGGAAUAUUGCACAAUGGGGGAAACCCUGAUGCAGCGACGCCGCGUGAGUGAAGAAGUAUUUCGGUACGUAAAGCUCUAUCAGCAGGGAAGAAAAUGACGGUACCUGACUAAGAAGCCCCGGCUAACUACGUGCCAGCAGCCGCGGUAAUACGUAGGGGGCAAGCGUUAUCCGGAUUUACUGGGUGUAAAGGGAGCGUAGACGGCAGCUGAAGUCUGGAGUGAAAUACCAUGGCUUAACCAUGGAACUGCUUUGGAAACUGUGCAGCUAGAGUGCAGGAGAGGUAAGCGGAAUUCCUAGUGUAGCGGUGAAAUGCGUAGAUAUUAGGAGGAACACCAGUGGCGAAGGCGGCUUACUGGACUGUAACUGACGCUGAGGCUCGAAAGCGUGGGGAGCAAACAGGAUUAGAUACCCGUGUAGUC